UUUUAUUUGAAUUAUAUUGUGAUUUGUUUAGAACACAAGCUGAAGAGCAGAGUGUUGAAGAAGACAAGCCCAAACCAACAGUUUCGGUCUCUGUCGGAGUUUGCUUGCCUAAACUACAGGAAGAAGCAGGGGACCAAUCAGAAAGCCCUGUUUGUGAGACACCUCAGUGCUGGGAACCUGUCUUUGCCUCUGUCUAUGCUAUCAAUACACCCCAAUAUAUCAUGUGUUUUAAUCA